CGGGGUUCACUCCCCAACCCCUGUGACAUACCUUACUGUUGCCUCGGCGGAUCAGCCCGCGCCCGGUAAAACGGGACGGCCCGCCAGAGGACCCCUAAACUCUGUUUUUAUUUGUAACUUCUGAGUAAAACCAUAAAUAAAUCAAAACUUUCAACAACGGAUCUCUUGGUUCUGGCAUCGAUGAAGAACGCAGCAAAAUGCGAUAAGUAAUGUGAAUUGCAGAAUUCAGUGAAUCAUCGAAUCUUUGAACGCACAUUGCGCCCGCCAGUAUUCUGGCGGGCAUGCCUGUUCGAGCGUCAUUUCAACCCUCAAGCCCUCGGGUUUGGUGUUGGGGAUCGGCGAGCCUUAUGGCAAGCCGGCCCCGAAAUCUAGUGGCGGUCUCACUGCAGCCUCCAUUGCGUAGUAGCUAACACCUCGCAAACUGGAAACGCGGUGCGGCCAAGCCCGUUAAAACCCCCCAACUUCUGAAUGGUGGACCUCGGGAUCAGGGUAGGAAAUACCCCGCUGGAACUUUAAGCAUUAUCCAAUAAGCGGAAGGAAGCCCCCUUACCGGGUUUAAAAUUCCAAUCCUCCCCAAAAAACCUUAAGGGGCUGGGGAAUCCCCCCCCCCGCCACACCUGGCCCCCCCCCAAAUACCCUCACCUUGUUUUCUCUUCCGCCCCCUCCCCCCCCCACUCCCAUUAAACCUCACUUGUCCCCAGUUUUUUUUUUGUUUUUGGUUUUUGGUAGAACGCUCAAAAUGCCCCUACCAAAAUGUAAAAUUGG
rnacentral:rRNA from 1 species